UUUAACACAUGCAAGUCGAGGGGCAGCGGGAUUGAAGCUUGCUUCAAUUGCCGGCGACCGGCGCACGGGUGAGUAACGCGUAUCCAACCUUCCGUACACUCAGGGAUAGCCUUUCGAAAGAAAGAUUAAUACCUGAUAGUAUCUUAAGCACACAUGUAAUUAAGAUUAAAGAUUUAUCGGUGUACGAUGGGGAUGCGUUCCAUUAGGUAGUAGGCGGGGUAACGGCCCACCUAGCCAACGAUGGAUAGGGGUUCUGAGAGGAAGGUCCCCCACAUUGGAACUGAGACACGGUCCAAACUCCUACGGGAGGCAA
rnacentral:rRNA from 1 species